UACAGAGGUCUCAAGCGUUGUUCGGAUUCAUUGGGCGUAAGGGGUGCGUAGGCGGCGCGGUAAGUCGGGUGUGAAAUCUCGGAGCUUAACUCCGAAACUGCAUUCGAUACUGCCGUGCUUGAGGACUGGAGAGGAGACUGGAAUUUACGGUGUAGCGGUGAAAUGCGUAGAUAUCGGGAGAACACCGGUGGCGAAGGCGGUUCUCUGGGCCUGACCUGACGCUGAGGAGCGAAAGCGUGGGGAGCAAACAGG
rnacentral:rRNA from 1 species